rnacentral:rRNA from 1 species
UACGAAGGGGGCGAGCGUUGUUCGGAUUUACUGGGCGUAAAGGGCGCGUAGGCGGCCCUCCUUGUCGCGUGUGAAAGCCCCGGGCUCAACCUGGGAAUUGCGCGCGAAACGGGGGGGCUUGAGUUCGGAAGAGGGUCGUGGAAUUCCCAGUGUAGAGGUGAAAUUCGUAGAUAUUGGGAAGAACACCGGUGGCGAAGGCGGCGACCUGGUCCGAUACUGACGCUGAGGCGCGAAAGCGUGGGGAGCAAACAGG